AGAGUUUGAUCCGGCUCAGGAUGAACGCCGGCGGCGUGCCUAACACAUGCAAGUCGAGCGAAGCGCGCCCCGGAAUCCUUCGGGAGGAAGGGUCGCGACUGAGCGGCGGACGGGUGAGUAACGCGUGGGUAACCUGCCUUGCACUGGGGGAUAACACUUAGAAAUAGGUGCUAAUACCGCAUAAGCGCACGGUCCUGCAUGGGACAGUGUGAAAAACUCCGGUGGUGCAAGAUGGACCCGCGUCUGAUUAGCUGGUUGGCGGGGUAAAGGCCCACCAAGGCGACGAUCAGUAGCCGGCCUGAGAGGGUGGACGGCCACAUUGGGACUGAGACACGGCCCAAACUCCUACGGGAGGCAGCAGUGGGGGAUAUUGGACAAUGGGGGGAACCCUGAUCCAGCGACGCCGCGUGAGUGAAGAAGUAUUUCGGUAUGUAAAGCUCUGUCAGCAGGGAAGAAAGCAAUGACGGUACCUGACCAAGAAGCCCCGGCUAACUACGUGCCAGCAGCCGCGGUAAUACGUAGGGGGCAAGCGUUAUCCGGAAUUACUGGGUGUAAAGGGAGCGUAGACGGCUGUGCAAGUCUGGAGUGAAAGGCGGGGGCCCAACCCCCGGACUGCUCUGGAAACUGUAUGGCUGGAGUGCAGGAGAGGUAAGCGGAAUUCCUAGUGUAGCGGUGAAAUGCGUAGAUAUUAGGAGGAACACCAGUGGCGAAGGCGGCUUACUGGACUGUAACUGACGUUGAGGCUCGAAAGCGUGGGGAGCAAACAGGAUUAGAUACCCUGGUAGUCCACGCCGUAAACGAUGAUUACUAGGUGUCGGAGGGUAUGGACCCUCCGGUGCCGCAGCAAACGCAGUAAGUAAUCCACCUGGGGAGUACGUUCGCAAGAAUGAAACUCAAAGGAAUUGACGGGGACCCGCACAAGCGGUGGAGCAUGUGGUUUAAUCCGAAGCAACGCGAAGAACCUUACCAGGUCUUGACAUCGUAUGCAUAGCCUAGAGAUAGGUGAAAUCCCUUCGGGGACAUAUAGACAGGUGGUGCAUGGUUGUCGUCAGCUCGUGUCGUGAGAUGUUGGGUUAAGUCCCGCAACGAGCGCAACCCUUACCUUUAGUUGCUACGCAAGAGCACUCUAGAGGGACUGCCGUUGACAAAACGGAGGAAGGUGGGGAUGACGUCAAAUCAUCAUGCCCCUUAUGACCUGGGCUACACACGUACUACAAUGGCAAUUAACAGAGGGAAGCAAAACAGCGAUGUGGAGCAAAUCCCGAAAAAUUGUCCCAGUUCAGAUUGCAGGCUGAAACUCGCCUGCAUGAAGUCGGAAUUGCUAGUAAUCGCAGAUCAGAAUGCUGCGGUGAAUACGUUCCCGGGCCUUGCACACACCGCCCGUCA
rnacentral:rRNA from 1 species